GAUGAACGCUAGCUACAGGCUUAACACAUGCAAGUCGCAGGGUAACAUGAGGAAAGCUUGCUUUCCUUGAUGACGACUGGCGCACGGGUGAGUAACGCGUAUCCAACCUUCCCAUAACUACGGGAUAACCCGUUGAAAGACGGCCUAAUACCGUAUGAUAUCGUUUGCUGACAUCAAAUAACGAUUAAAGGUUUAGCGGUUAUGGAUGGGGAUGCGUCUGAUUAGCUUGUUGGCGGGGUAACGGCCCACCAAGGCGACGAUCAGUAGGGGUUCUGAGAGGAAGGUCCCCCACAUUGGAGCUGGGACACGGUCCAAGCUCCUACGGGAGGCAGCAGUGAGGUAUAUUGGUCAAUGGGCGAGAGCCUGAACCAGCCAAGUAGCGUGCAGGACGACGGCCCUAUGGGUUGUAAACUGCUUUUAUGUGGGGAUAAAGUGCGUGACGUGUCAUGCAUUGCAGGUACCACAUGAAUAAGGACCGGCUAAUUCCGUG
rnacentral:rRNA from 1 species